AAAAUCUUAAGUUAUGGAGACUAUAGUAUUUCAAGUACUAAAGAGGGCGAGCCCAGAUUUUG
rnacentral:tRNA from 1 species